CCCGGCUGGCGCUCCUCCUCCGAGCCGAGCCUGCCGGGAGACAGCGCGGGGGGUAGCGGGAUCCCGCAGCACCACAGAGCGGCCCCGCGAAAGGACCUGGGGGUGUUGGUGACAGUGGCUGAACAUGAGCCAGCGUCCAAGAGGCCACCAGCGUCCUGGCUGGUACCAGCACUGGUGUGGCCAGCAGGCCCAGGGCAGUGACCGUCCCUGUGCUGGGACCUGGGGAGGCCAAACCGCGAAUCCCGGGGGCAGUUCUGGGCCCCUCACGUCAAGAAAGGCCUUGAGGUGCUGGAGCGAGUGGAGAGAAGGGAACGGAGCUGUAAACAGCAAUCCCGGCAGGGAAAGGUAAAUACAUCGGUACGGGUUGCGCAGCCCCGUGUUGGAGCGUGUCCACGGUCACACCAGUGUCACCUGCACGACGAGGACCGUCCCGUCCCUCCCUGGUGCUCACCUCUCCCCCAGCACCCGUGUCCACGACGUGUCCUGGCCCAGCUCCUUCUCCAGCAGCUCAAACUUCUGCGCCAGCUCCUGCAAGCUGGAGUCCAGGUCACCGAACUGAGCCUCCACGGUCUGCAGCUUGGUUUCUACCCUGGGGGACGGAACAGAAGGACAUUUCGUCAGGACUUGGGCACCAAGCGCUGUCGCUUUCUGCCGUGAUGGUGGGGACACUUAUGUUGCACUGGGAACAGCUCCAGACCCCGUUCUGAGGCUCCUCCCAAGCUGUGUGACAACACAUACCACUAGAAAUGAAGUUUUUUUGACACGGCCCAUAUCUUCUUUGCCCUCUCCUGGUGAAGAAGUGUUAUAACUUAUAAAUACAGAUUCAAGAUUUAUAUUUAGACGUGACUGCAGGUGUGAACCAUUUGCAUUAGGGGCACAGCUGUUUAAUAAAUUUUGAGGUGAUUUGUGCUU